GACGAACGCUGGCGGCGUGCUUAACACAUGCAAGUCGAACGGAAAGGCCCUGCUUUUGUGGGGUGCUCGAGUGGCGAACGGGUGAGUAACACGUGAGUAACCUGCCCUUGACUUUGGGAUAACUUCAGGAAACUGGGGCUAAUACCGGAUAGGAGCUCCUGCUGCAUGGUGGGGGUUGGAAAGUUUCGGCGGUUGGGGAUGGACUCGCGGCUUAUCAGCUUGUUGGUGGGGUAGUGGCUUACCAAGGCUUUGACGGGUAGCCGGCCUGAGCGGGUGACCGGCAACAUUGGGACUGAGAUACGGCCCAGACUCCUACGGGAGGCAGCAGUGGGGAAUAUUGCACAAUGGGCGGAAGCCUGAUGCAGCAACGCCGCGUGCGGGAUGACGGCCUUCGGGUUGUAAACCGCUUUCGCCUGUGACGAAGCGUGAGUGACGGUAAUGGGUAAAGAAGCACCGGCUAACUACGUG
rnacentral:rRNA from 1 species